rnacentral:rRNA from 1 species
GGAAACGACUGCUAAUACCGCAUAAGCGCACGGUAUCGCAUGAUACAGUGUAGAAAAACUCCGGUGGUAUAAGAUGGACCCGCGUCUGAUUAGCUGGUUGGUGAGGUAACGGCCCACCAAGGCGACGAUCAGUAGCCGACCUGAGAGGGUGACCGGCCACAUUGGGACUGAGACACGGCCCAAACUCCUACGGGGAGGCAGCAGGUGGGGAAUAUUGCACAAUGGGGGAAACCCUGAUGCAGCGACGCCGCGUGAGCGAAGAAGUAUUUCGGUAUGUAAAGCUCUAUCAGCAGGGAAGAAAAAAUGACGGUACCUGACUAAGAAGCCCCGGCUAACUACGUG